CUAAGGGCGUACGGUGGAUGCCUUGGCGCCAGACGGCGAAGAAGGACGUGGUUACCUGCGAAAAGCCUCGGCUAGGGGGAAACACCCUUUGAUCCGGGGAUCUCCGAAUGGGGAAACCCUUCCCGGCAAAACCGGGAAACGGCCCGCUGAAUCCAUAGGCGGGUGCGAGCCAACCCAGGGAAGUGAACCAUCUCAGUACCUGGAGGAAGAGAAAGCAACAGCGAUUCCGUCAGUAGCGGCGAGCGAACGCGGAACAGCCCAAACUCAGCCUUCCUUUGAGAUUUCAGAAUUGAAAUUUGAGAUCUCAGAGGAGGGCUGGGGGUUGUAGGGCGCGCGUCGGUGCAGAACCGAAGAGUUACCAAUCCGGCGGCUAUCCGAACGACUUGGAAAAGUCGGCCAGAGGAUGUGAUAGCCAUGUAGGAGAAAGCUGACCGGACUCUUACGCGCGUUCCUGAGUACCGCGGGGCACGAGAAACCCUGCGGGAAUCCACGGGGACCAUCCCGUAAGGCUAAAUACGUGCUGGCGACCGAUAGCGAACUAGUACCGUGAGGGAAAGGUGAAAAGCACCCCUGCGAGGGGAGUUAAAAGUACCUGAAACCGUAUGCCUACAAGCAGUCGAAGGGCCACGCUCGUCCCUCUGAGAUUUCAAAUUUGAAAUUUGAGAUUUCAGAGGGGCGAGCAAGCCUGACGGCGUGCCUAUUGCAUAAUGAGCCGGCUAGUUAUUGUCCGUUGCGAGGCUAAGCGACGAUCUUGCGGUUGCGACCGCGAGGGAGCGAGCCGUAGCGAAAGCGAGUCUGAAUAGGGCGACCAGUAGCGGGCAAUAGACGCGAAGCGGGAUGAUCUACCCUUGGUCAGGGUGAAAGCCGCGUAACAGCGGCCGGAGGCCCGAACCGGUGUUGGUUGAAAACAGCUCGGAUGAACUGAGGGUAGGGGUGAAAGGCUAAUCAAAUUCCGUGAUAGCUCGUUCUCCCCGAAAUAGCUUUAGGGCUAGCCUCGGAUGGUCGCUCGCGGUGAUAGAGAACUAGAUGGACUAGGGUCCUUUAACGGAUUCCGAAUCCAACUAAACUCCGAAUGCCGCGAAGCGCAGUCCGGGAGUCAGACAGUGGGGGCUAAGCUUCAUUGUCGAGAGGGAAAUAGCCCAGACCGCCAGCUAAGGUCCCGAAGCGAUGGCUAAGUGGGGAAGGAAGUGAAGUCGCUCAGACAGCCAGGAGGUUGGCUUAGAAGCAGCCAUCCUUUAAAGAAAGCGUAACAGCUCACUGGUCGAGUGACUUCGCGCCGAUAAUUCAACGGGGCUCAAGCCAUCUACCGAAGCUGCGGAUUUCGCGGGUUGCCACUGGGGCCACGGGGACAAUCACAAGUUGGAGGUUAUCUCAACAGGUGGUAUCUCGGUGGUUCAAGUGGUGGCCCGCGGGGUGGUAGGGGAGCGUAGAGUACAGUUUGAAGCGGGACCGCGAGGGCCCGUUGACGGUACUCCAGUGACCCUGCCGGCAUAAGUAGCGAUAACGGAGGUGGGAACCCUCCGCGCCGAAAGUCUAAGGUUUCCUGAGAAAGGUUAAUCCGCUCAGGGUCAGUCGGUCCCUAAGGUGAGGCCGAAAGGCGUAGCUGAUGGACAGCCGGUUAAUAUUCCGGCACUGUGGCGGAGACGUUAUGACGAAGCGGGGACGCAGGAGGAUAGCGGAGUCGAAACCCGCAAGGGCGAUGCGCGCAUCGAGGAGGAUCCGGCAGGCAAAUCCACCGGGUCGGUUCAAAGCCACUCUGAGGUGUGAGCCGAGGGGCCUCGGCCCCAGUAAGUCCGUGACUUCAUGCUGCCAAGAAAAGCCGCUAAGCAGUCUCCGACGCAACCGUACCCCAAACCGACACAGGUAGACGAGGUGAAUAUCCAAAGGCGCUUGAGAGAACACUCGCUCAGGAACUAGGCAAAUUAGCACCGUAACUUCGGGAGAAGGUGUGCCCCGCUAGGGUUCAUAGCCCGAGGGGGCCGCAGUGAAAGGCGCUCUGCGACUGUUUAACAAAAACACAGGUCUCUGCAAAGUCGAAAACGACGUAUAGGGGCUGACGCCUGCCCGGUGCCGGAAGGUUAAAGGGAGAGGUCAUGGGGAGCAAUCCCCGGCAGCUUUGAACUGAAGCCCCGGUGAACGGCGGCCGUAACUAUAACGGUCCUAAGGUAGCGAAAUUCCUUGUCGGGCAAGUUCCGACCUGCACGAAUGGCGUAACGACAGAGCGACUGUCUUGGCGAGUGACUCAGCGAACUUGUAGUACCGGUGAAGAUGCCGGUUACCCGCACCUAGACGGAAAGACCCCGUGCACCUUUACUAUACCCUAGCCCUGAGCUACGGGCUUGUCUGCGCAGGAUAGGUGGGAGGCUUUGAACCUGGGUUCUCGGACCCGGGGGAGCCGACGGUGAGAUACCACCCUGAUGAUUCUGUGGCUCUAACUUCGACCCGUAAUCCGGGUCAGGGACACGGCUAGGCGGGUAGUUUGACUGGGGCGGUCGCCUCCUAAAAGGUAACGGAGGCGCCCCAAGGUUGGCUCAGGCUGUUUGGAAAUCAGCCGUCGAGUGCAAGGGCAUAAGCCAGCCUGACUGCGAGACCUACUAGUCGAGCAGAGACGAAAGUCGGGCCUAGUGAUCCGGUGGUUCUGUAUGGAAGGGCCAUCGCUCAACGGAUAAAAGGUACGCCGGGGAUAACAGGCUGAUCGGAGCCAAGAGUUCACAUCGACGCUCCGGUUUGGCACCUCGAUGUCGGCUCAUCGCAUCCUGGAGCUGUAGAAGGUUCCAAGGGUUGGGCUGUUCGCCCAUUAAAGCGGUACGUGAGCUGGGUUCAGAACGUCGCGAGACAGUUCGGUCCCUAUCUGGUGUGGGCGCAGGAGAUUUGAGGGGGGUUGUCCUUAGUACGAGAGGACCGGGAUGAACAGACCUCUUGUGUACCAGCUGUCUAAACCAUGGCACGGCUGGGUAGCGAAGUCUGGAAGUGAUAAACGCUGAAAGCAUCUAAGCGUGAAGCACGCCCCAAGAUCAUAUCUCCCAAGGAUGAAAGGCGGUUUCGCUAACCGUCGAGAUUCCUCUGAAGGGCCGCGGAAGACUACCGCGUAUAUAGGUCGGACGUGGACGCAGGGUAACCUGUGGAGCUUACCGAUCCUAAUGCCCAUUCGGCUUGACC
rnacentral:rRNA from 1 species